rnacentral:lncRNA from 1 species
CUCGCACAUGGCUCGCACAUGCGAGGGCUCGCUGUCGGCUUCUAAGUGGACCGCGGCUUGCUGGCGCACCUGCGAGGCUCGGAGCUAGGCUAUGCGAGGCUCGGACACACGCGGCAGCUGGGCGAAGCUUCGGCUGGGGAGCUGGCUGCUUCGGAUUGGGCCUCCUCCUCGGUCGAAUCAGAAGAGGACACGUGGCUCGCAUGACUCAGCAGCCUCGGUGACUCAGCAGCCUAAUGACUCAGCAGCCAGGUGACUCAGCAGGACACGUGUCACUUUCUAAGCGAGGGUGACGUGGCAAUUGUGACUAUGCGAAAUUUCUCGGUUUUCGCGCCAAAACUUCUAAAAUCCAUAACUUUCGCAUACGAGCUCCGUUUUUGACGUUCUUUAUAUGCACGCGUAGCUAAAAUUACGAUCUACAACUUCCGUUUAGACUUCGUCGGCUAAUUUUGAAUUUAAAUUUUAUAUUAUUAUUUUUAACAGACCGGGACAGGAAAUCCGUUAAAAAUUCAUAACUUCUUCAUCCGACGUCCGUUUUCGUCAGACUUUUUACCGUUGUGCUCCUAAUGACGAGACCUUCAAUUCUCGUUUAGGUUGUGUCGGCUAAAAAUCGCUCGAUCUAAAAUUCGAGUUUUUAGCUGUCUACUGCUACGCUGAAACUUCGAAAAAUCAUAACUUCCUCAUACGAAGUCAGAUUUGGGCGUUCUUUUUAUCGAACUUCUCGGUUUAACGAAUACUACGACUUUCGUUUAGAUUACUAAGGCUAAAAAGUAGUUUAUCAAAAACUCACUUUUUACGACAUUCAGCACCGUGCCGGUUUUGUCGCGAAACUUCGACAGGUCAUAACUUCUUCGUUAUAACUCGGAUUUUGGUAUUCUUUAUAUCCCCGAAAUCCUUGUUUCGACCACUACAACUUUAUGUAAAGAUAUCGGGCUUAUCUCACACUUUAAUUUUGACGCUUAUUUUUAUUCUUAAUUAAUUAAGCCCUAAUAAUUAAGCAUAAAACACAUAAUUCACAUAAUAUUCACAUAAUUCCUUUUCAUUUCUUCAAAAUGAGUUACAAAGGUUAACCUAGACUAUCAACUCAAUAUAAAUGCCUAGGCUAGAAACACGAGUGUUACAAUUCUCUCCCCCUUAGGAUGAUUCCGUCCCCGGAAUCACAUAUCACCAAACAACUGCGGGUAGCGACUCAUCAUGUCACUCUCCGUUUCCCAAGUGAGAUUUGGUCCAUUCGUAUGUUUCCAGCGCACAAGCACUAAAUCGACCAUCUUGCGUCGUAACUUCAUAGUCUUACGGUCAACGAUUGCCUCAGGUUCUUCGAUCAACCUCUUGUUUUCAUCCAACCUUAACUCAGAAAUCGGAAUUAUGUCGGGCACAUCUCCUGUGAACUUUCUCAAAUAACACACAUGAAAGGUGUUAUGAAUACCCUCUAGUUCUUCCGGUAACUCUAGCUUGUAAGCUUGAUUCCCGAUUCUCUGAAGAACUUUAAAUGGUCCAAUAAACCUUGGACUCAACUUCCCUCUCUUACCAAAUCUUAUAAGUCCCUUCCACGGCGAGACUUUAAGUAAAACCGAAUCUCCAACAUCGAAGGAUAUCGGUUGUCUUUUCUUGUCAGCAUAACUCUUUUGUCGAUCUUGAGCAGCUAACAUCCUUUCCCUUAUCACUUUCAACUUUUCAGCAGUCUCAUGGACUAUUUCAGGUCCCAUAAACUGCUUUUCCCCAGCUUCCAGCCAACAUGAUGGCGUUCGACACUUCUCCCCAUACAAAGCGUGAUAAGGUGCCAUCUUAAUGCUUGAGUGGAAACUAUUAUUAUAGGAGAAUUCUACUAAAGGUAAGUGUUCAUCCCAGUUACCUUGGAAUUCUAGGGUACAUGCUCUCAGCAUAUCCUCCAAUGUUUGAAUCGUUCGCUCGCUCUGACCAUCGGUUUGCGGAUGGUAAGCUGUACUCAAACACAACUUGGUACCCAAUUCCUCUUGUAGACUCCUCCAAAACCUUGAGGUAAAACGGCUGUCACGAUCGGACACAAUCGUUAACGGAACACCGUGAAGCCUCACAAUUUCCUUCACGUAAGAAUUCGCAAGUUUAUCCAUAGACCAUUUCUCUUUGGCCGCUAUGAAAUGCGCACUCUUAGUGAAGCGAUCAACGACCACCCAAAUCAUGUCGUGACCGUUCCUUGUUCUGGGCAGUUUAGUCACAAAAUCCAUGGUGACGUCUUCCCAUUUACCCAUGGGUACGGGUAAAGGUUCUAAACUCCCAUACGGUUUCUGAUGUUGUGCCUUAACCCUAGCACAAGUUACACACUCGGCCACAUACUUAGCAACAUCGAGCUUCAUCGUCGGCCACCAAUAAUAGGGUUUUAGAUCCCUAUACAUUUUCGUACUGCCGGGAUGAAUUGAGUACAUGGUCUUGUGAGCUUCUUCCAUCAGAAGAUCUCUUAUUCCGCCCGUCUUAGGUACCCAAAUUCUAUCUUGAAAUACCUUCAACCCUUGGUUGUUUGUACCGAACACUAACGUUUUGCCCAAACGUUCUUCCUUUCGGUCAUUUUUCUCUAAAGCUUCCUCUUGAGCUUUCUUUAUACUUUCCACAAUUGUCGAGACAACUUCAAUUCUCAAUGCUCUUGGCCUUUUCUUUUCAAGGUUUACCUUCCGACUGAGAGCAUCGGCAACAACAUUUGCUUUACCAGGGUGGUAAAGUAUCUCACAGUCGUAGUCCUUGAGUAACUCUAGCCAGCGUCGUUGCCUCAUGUUCAAUUCCUUCUGAUUAAAGAGAUAUUGGAGACUCUUAUGAUCAGUGAAAAGUUUACACUUUGUGCCAUAAAGAUAAUGCCUCCAUAUCUUCAAGGCAAAUACUACCGCUGCCAACUCCAAAUCAUGAGUGGGGUAGUUCUUUUCAUGUUCCUUCAAUUGCCUCGAUGCAUACGCGAUCACUUUAUCCCUUUGGGUCAGAACACAACCUAACCCAACUCCGGAUGCAUCGCUAUAAACUGCAAAGUCAUCAACUCCUUCAGGCAAUGAAAGAAUCGGUGCUUCACACAAUCUCUUCUUCAACUUCUCAAAGGCUUCCUUAUGCUUCUCAUUCCAAGCAUAAGUGGCUCCUUUGUGGGUCAAAGCUGUUAAUGGAGUAGCAAUCGAAGAAAAGCCUUGGAUAAACCUUCGGUAAUAUCCAGCUAAUCCUAAAAAGCUUCGAAUCUCCGUAGGACUUUUUGGUUGUUCCCACUUCAUUACAGCUUCAAUCUUUGCUGGGUCGACCAUUAUCCCUUCUUGGUUAACCACAUGACCUAAAAAUUGGACUUCUUGAAUCCAAAAUUCACACUUGGAGAACUUUGCAUACAGCUUCUCCUUUUUCAGGACUUCUAGCACUUCACGCAGAUGCUUUUCAUGCUCCUGCUUGCUUUUCGAAUAAAUCAAGAUAUCAUCUAUGAAUACUAUCACGGAUUUAUCUAAGAAUGGUUUACAAACCCUAUUCAUCAAAUCCAUGAAAGCUGCUGGGGCAUUGGUUAGUCCGAACGACAUAACCAAAAAUUCAUAGUGUCCAUAUCUCGUUCUAAAAGCAGUCUUUUCGAUAUCCUGCUCUCUCACCUUUAGUUGAUGGUAUCCCGACCUAAGAUCGAUCUUCGAGAAAUAGCUCGAACCCUGCAACUGGUCGAACAAGUCAUCGAUCCUUGGCAACGGGUACUUGUUCUUUAUCGUCACUUUGUUCAGCUCUCUGUAAUCGAUGCACAUUCUCAUGCUUCCGUCUUUCUUCUUUACAAAUAACACAGGGGCUCCCCAGGGUGAUGAACUAGGUCGAAUGAAACCUUUGUCCAAUAACUCCUGAAGUUGUGUCAUAAGUUCUUUCAUUUCGGUUGGCGCUAAUCGAUAAGGUGCUUUCGCUAUCGGCGUCGUUCCUGGUAACAAGUCGAUACGAAAUUCUACUUGUCGAUCAGGGGGCAAUCCGGGAAGAUCUUCGGGAAAGACUUCCGGAUAAUCACACACCACCGGAAUAUUCUGCACCUCCUUCUUUUCCAUCUUGGCAUCGAUCACGAACGCUAGAUAUGAUGUACAUCCCUUGGCCAAACACUUUCUGGCUUUCAUUAGGGAAAUGAUUCCAGAGUUUACUCUGCGUUUGUCUCCGUACACCAUAAACGACUCUUUCCCUGGUGGGUUUACUUUUACUAUCUUCUUUCUACAUAGUAUUUCUGCAUCAUUGGCGCUAAGCCAAUCCAUUCCUAAAACUAUGUCGAAUCCAUUUAACUCGAUAGGCAAUAAUUCCUCUUGGAACUUAUUCCCAUCCAAGUCAAUGAGGAUGUUUUUCAUACGAUGGCUAACAGGUACAAACUUGCCACUAGCAAUCUCGACUAUUAUAGCAUUAACUAGCAUAUCUACAGGCAAAGCUAGCUUUCUACCAAAUUCAUGCGAUAUAAAGGAGUAAUUGGCUCCAGAAUCAAACAAAAUUUGGGCAGGCAAUUCGUUUACGAGAAAGGUACCUGAAGCGACAUCGGCUUCUUCUUUCGCAGCUUCGAGGGUCAUCUGAAAGGCUCUCGCCUUCGGCUUUGGUGGUAGAUUGGGUUUUGCUGCGUCCUUCUUCUUCGGGCAGUCCCUCAAAAUAUGCCCUUCUUCAUUGCACCCAAAACAUACGUUCUUAUUGAAGGUGCAUUCAUUGGCAUAAUGCCCUGGCUUUCCACAUUUGUAACAAGUGACUUCCACGCUGCACUUCCCAGCAUGUUUCUUCCUACACUUGUCACACCACUUGGCUUCGCUUCCUCCUCCAAACUUUCUCGAACCAGUCUUCGAGAAUUUGUUCUUUUUAUUGGAACCUGAAGUUCCUUCAAACUUUCUCUUUUCGCCAACUUCAACCUUGCUGGCGGCUCUCCCUUUUAUCAUAUCUUCAACAGACUUGGCAGCCCAGAUAGCUGCCUCCAAAGUAAGUGCCUGACGUACUGGCACCGCAUACUCCCAUGGAAGUCCCUUUGCGUACCUGUCUAUUUUUGCCAACUCAUCUGGGACAAUACGCAAAGCAAACUCCAUUUUGUCUGUGAAGUUAUUUGUAUAUUCGUCAACGGUCAUACUCCCCUUCUGCAACGUUAGAAAUUGGUUUUCUAACUCAAGUACGUUUUGGGCCGAGCAGUACUUGCGCUUGAAGUGCACUAAGAACUCUGCCCAAGUUAAUUGCAGUGGCUCAUUAGGGCUUAGGGUUUUCCCCAAAGUGCUCCACCAACGAGCAGCACUACCCCUGAACUGACGUACUGCAAACGUAGUUUGUAACUUGCCUUGGCAAUCACAAGUCAUGAAAGCCAACUCCAUUUCCGAGAUCCAGUCCAUUACUCCGACAGGAUCUUCUUUUCCAUUGAAGGUCGAUGGCUUGCAAGUCAUAAAGUCCUUAUACUUGCACCCAUUUCUCUCCACUCUACCCUCGUGGUUAUUCCUCCCAACCACAAGCGGUUCACUAUGACCAACCGAUCUGCUAUUGUUCCCUUCUUCAGAUCGAUCGUCAUUUAGUUCACGUUGUUCAACAGGAACUGAAGGUUCAUCCCUGUCGUUCAGCAACAUUUGCCUCAAUUCCUCCCUCUGUUCAGCCAACAUGGCCUGAAUCAUAGUUCGUACUCCAGCCAUGGUGAUGGGUUCGGGUGCAGCUCCUACUAUAGGCACCUGUUCCACCACUUGAGGUUGAGGUUGUUGGUUUCUGUUUGCAUUUCCAGCUCCACUCCGAGUUCUUGCCAUUACAAUCUAUAUACCGAAUAAGGCGAAAUUUAGGUCUUUAUCCUUGUUAGACAUGUCAAUUCCCUUAUCACUCCGAAACGUUUACAUGUUAGUUCUAAUCUCGUAUUCAUACGCUUAGAAUCCUACACACAUAAGGUUUCCAGAUCCGGUCGGCAACAGACCAUAGAUCCGAACAAAUAAUGGCACACAUGGCAAACACAUAGCAUUUAGCACAUAAGGGCAUUUUAGGCAUCUUCCCUAAAAUAAACUAGUGCUCGUGUCUAAAAUAUGGUAGACACUCAUCUCACAAUCAUCACUUAGCAUUCUAAGUUCAAGUCUAGAAAUUCUACAAUUUCUUAGUUCGCUUAAACUAAUGCUCUGAUACCAACUGUGACAUCCCCAUAUUUCUCGGCUAGAAAAUACAGAUUUAAUUUAUGCUUUUUAAAAUAAAAUCAGACAAAAUCUUUUUAUAAGAUAUUGCGGAAUUGGUCCCCAAACAAUAUAUGAUAAAAGUUUAUCAAAAUCCUUCAUUAAGAAGGUAUAUAUUUUCCAUAUAUAUAUCAAAACCUCGGGAUGUCAUGUUCCGAUACAGAUCAAAAGCAUAAACAAGACAUUAUAAGCCUUUCAACAGUUAUUUACAACUACUGGCCUAUAAUCCAAAAAUCUCUCGUCAUCCUCCGACUAUGCUCGGGGUCCACUACCUGUAAUCAUAAAACUGAGUGGGUCAGGCUUGGGAGCCUGGUGAGCAUAUAGGGUUUUCAACCCACAAUAAUAAUAUACUUAUUAAGUUCACCAAUCAACAAUAACCCUGAUUACCCAUUCCCGUUGUCCUCACUUUACGUCCCUAAACACCUAUCACAAGGGACCUAGCCUAAGGAUUAUCAUCGGGAUGGACACUACUGCUAAGGGGUUUCCUCAGCCAUACAUGUCCUUAAGGCAACCAUGAGGGGGAUGAAGUACGCCAAUGAACAUUUAAUUCAUCAACACCUACAAGUUGCGAACCUGCUAGUGUUCCACUGGACUAUCUAGAAAGUCCGUGGUCGUCAUCUAUACUUCGCUAGAUGACUACAACAACAACAACAACAUCGACAUCGAGGCCUCUCACCAUUUUAACACACAUCAACUAUUUCAUCUACCCAUGUUCUACCCAACAUAUUUUGUAGAUAAAAAGCAUAUACAGUUUAAAACUUGUAUAAAACAUCAAUUCAACAGUCACCUCGAAUAAACAAUUAGCAUAUUUACACAUAACACGUAUUUCAAGGUAAAUACUUCAUAUCUAUGUGUAAAUUGAAAGUAACUACACACUCACUUAUUUUGGUGAAAAUCGGGCAGCAAUUCGUUUCCUAAAACGAUCGUUUCUAAUAAAACCGGGAGUUUUAUUGAGAAACCGGGCUCUGCAAAAGUCGGGCUUCGAAACCGAAAAGAUAAAUUUUCCGGGCUUCUCGGGCACUUCGUGGGGUAUUCCGGGCUUUACAAUCGAUACCGGGGCUUUGCGGGAUGUUAAGAUGAAGAAAAUAUGGAGAGAGGGGCUAAAAAUGGCUAAAUUCCAAAAGUAACCGGAAACCCUCGCAGGUACCCUUCUAUUUAUAGGGUCCGAAGUUUGAUCCAACGGCUGAGAAGUCUCCGGAUCCGACGGCUAAGAGGCUUCGCAGAGGGUCUCGCACAUGCCUCGCAUGGCUCGCACCUGGCUCGCACAUGCGAGGGCUCGCUGUCGGCUUCUAAGUGGACCGCGGCUUGCUGGCGCACCUGCGAGGCUCGGAGCUAGGCUAUGCGAGGCUCGGACACACGCGACAGCUGGGCGAAGCUUCGGCUGGGGAGCUGGCUGCUUCGGAUUGGGCCUCCUCCUCGGUCGAAUCAGAAGAGGACACGUGGCUUCGCAUGACUCAGCAGCUUCGGUGACUCAGCAGCCUGAUGACUCAGCAGCCUGGUGACUCAGCAGGACACGUGUCACAUUCUAAGCGAGGGUGACGUGGCAAAGUGUGACUAUGCGAAAUUUCUCGGUUUUCGCGCCAAAACUUCUAAAAUCCAUAACUUUCGCAUACGAGCUCCGUUUUUGACGUUCUUUAUAUGCACGCGUAGCUAAAAUUACGCUCUACAACUUUCGUUUAGACUUCGUCGGCUAAUUUUGAAUUUAAAUUUUAUAUUAUUAUUUUUAACAGACCGGGACAGGAAAUCCGUUAAAAAUUCAUAACUUCUUCAUCCGACGUCCGUUUUCGUCAGACUUUUUACCGUUGUGCUCCUAAUGACGAGACCUUCAAUUCUCGUUUAGGUUGUGUCGGCUAAAAACCGCUCGAUCUAAAAUUCGAGUUUUUAGUUGUCUACUGCUACGCUGAAACUUCGAAAAAUCAUAACUUCCUCAUACGAAGUCAGAUUUGGGCGUUCUUUUUAUCGAACUUCUCGGUUUAACGAAUACUACGACUUUCGUUUAGAUUACUAAGGCUAAAAAGUAGUUUAUCAAAAACUCACUUUUUACGACAUUCAGCACCGUGCCGGUUUUGU